GUCACAUCACGUUGAAAUACCAGUUCCUGUAUAAUCACCUAAGUUAAGCAAUAUUGAGCCUGGUCAGUACCUAGAUGGGUGACCGCUUGGGAAUACCAGGUGCCGUAAG